GAUGAACGCUGACAGAAUGCUUAACACAUGCAAGUCAACUUGAACUUUGGUUUGGGUGGCGGACGGGUGAGUAACGCGUAAAGAACUUGCCUCACAGCUAGGGACAACAUUUGGAAACGAAUGCUAAUACCUGAUAUUAUGAUUAUAUGGCAUCGUAUAAUUAUGAAAGCUAAAUGCACUGUGAGAGAGCUUUGCGUCCCAUUAGCUAGUUGGAGAGGUAACGGCUCACCAAGGCGAUGAUGGGUAGCCGGCCUGAGAGGGUGAACGGCCACAAGGGGACUGAGACACGGCCCUUACUCCUACGGGAGGCAGCAGUGGGGAAUAUUGGACAAUGGACCGAGAGUCUGAUCCUGCAAUUCUGUGUGCACGACGAAGUUUUUUUGAAUGGUAAGUGCUUUCUGUUGGGAAGAAAAAAAUGACGGGACCACCAGCAAAAGAGAUGGCUAAAUACGUGGUGCCAGCCGCCGUAAUAAUUAUGUCGUGAGGGUUAUCCUCAUUAUUUGUGGAGCGACUAGGCUAGUUGGAGGUGCUAUUCUUAUGUGGAACGAGGGCGCGACUCUUUAUUGCGGGGAAAAGACUAAUAAAGUGCGGGUAAGGUAAGUGCACCUAUAAGCUGGAGGGAAGUGUCUCUUAUUUUUUGUGACCUGGCCAAGCCACUCACGCAAAAAUCAGAUGCCUAUCCUCAAACACG
rnacentral:rRNA from 1 species